GUAAAUACUACAUUAUACCGACGUAGUUUUCAGUUUCUUUCUAGUUGGAUUAACUUGAUGCAAAGCUGUCAUUUACACGAAUCAGCGGCAUAACUGGAGAAGACGAAGUCGAAUCGCCUUAUUUAGUGAUAAGUUAACCACUCAGCUCCGGUAAGCAUCAUGACCUCCAAAUUGUUCGGCCGUUAGCCACUGAGCGGACUACGUUUAGUUAAUGGCCGAACAUCGGCAGCCUCAAAUCUCGAGGCGACAGGCUGAUCAUCUUAAACACAACUCGAGCAUGUUGUAGCAACAAGCUUUAGUGUACGCGAUUUUCUGGAGAAGAUGCGUAUCCCAAUGACAACGUCGGGUACAGUUGCAUGGUGAUUUAUACAGAUUUUGAUUUAGAUGGGAAAAGAAGCGGGACUUGUUUUUCACGAGCUCUGCGAGGGCACCUUUUACAGGGCCCUGAGACCGUACAUCUACAACUGGAUAAUGAGCUACUUUGAUGUCAGGCGCAAGCAACAGGCAUCCUUGGAGGUCAUUUACGAGACUAUCACAAGCAGAAUGAUUACAAGGAUCUCGAGAGCUUCAACGAAGAUUCAAAACUUACCAAAUAAGAGGCUGACCGUUCUCGACUUGUUACUUGUCGGCAAAAGAAGUGAACUGAUCGACGAGCUGGUAUCCGAGAGGAAGUUGGAAAUAUAAUUGCUGCAAUGAGAGGGCAAAUGACCGAAUGUUCAAGGAGGAUAGUCAGGGCCGAGGUGCUGAUGACGAUCGACCGCGGCGGCGGUGUCUUGACCAAGUUCCAUUACUUUGAGCGAACAAUCAAAGAGCCGCUCUAACUGUUCACAUCCGCUUACAUUAUUGGACAGCACACUACUAACGAGUUGCAAUUAGAUACACUGUUGUUUACAUAUUAGUUUUCCUUUAGUCGUAACGCAAACGACCCUCUUUCAGACAAAUAUAGGGUACCGGUUAGCACAGAAGUGGUGUUGAAGUUGUUUUGCGUGCAUCGGGAUCCACAUUUCUGGCCGUGACUAGAGACAAAUUCGAUCCAGAUCGAUUUUUGUUGGAAAAUUCAAGGAUGCAAUGUGCCAUGGUCAAAAUAAAAAUCAUUCUGGCACAUAUGUUGGCAAUUUUCUAUCUUGAAUAAGUUCAAAGGACUAAGGAAUUAUCGCUUCAAGACCCACCCAAGAAAUUCACGCUAAGCUCGUUGUUAUCGAAUGAGAUGUAGUUCUUUUUAUAGAAAAAGGAACAAGCAUAUAAACAUAAUGAACCAUUUUUGUACCUCUCCUGAAUAAACAAUGAAUCUUUAGUUAGAACUGAAGCAGGAUUUGAU